ACGCUCGACACCUACGAGAGGCAGCAGUGGGGAAUAUUGCACAAUGGGGGAAACCCUGAUGCAGCGACGCCGCGUGAGCGAAGAAGUAUCUCGGUAUGUAAAGCUCUAUCAGCAGGGAAGAAGAUGACGGUACCUGACUAAGAAGCACCGGCUAAAUACGUGCCAGUAGCCGCGGUAAUCUGAGCGGGCUGGCAAGGC
rnacentral:rRNA from 1 species